rnacentral:rRNA from 1 species
GACGAACGCUGGCGGCGUGCUUAACACAUGCAAGUCGAACGGAAAGGCCUGCAGCUUGCUGCGGGUACUCGAGUGGCGAACGGGUGAGUAACACGUGGGUGAUCUGCCUUGCACUUCGGGAUAAGCUUGGGAAACUGGGUCUAAUACCGGAUAGGACAGCUGUUUAGUGUCAGUUGUGGAAAGUUUUUUCGGUGCAAGAUGAGCUCGCGGCCUAUCAGCUUGUUGGUGGGGUAAUGGCCUACCAAGGCGUCGACGGGUAGCCGGCCUGAGAGGGUGUACGGCCACAUUGGGACUGAGAUACGGCCCAGACUCCUACGGGAGGCAGCAGUGGGGAAUAUUGCACAAUGGGCGGAAGCCUGAUGCAGCGACGCCGCGUGGGGGAUGAAGGCCUUCGGGUUGUGAACUCCUUUCGACAGGGACGAAGCGUAAGUGACGGUACCUGUAUAAGAAGCAUCGGCUAACUACGUGCCAGCAGCCGCGGUAAUACGUAGGGUGCGAGCGUUGUCCGGAAUUACUGGGCGUAAAGAGCUCGUAGGUGGUUUGUCGCGUCGUCUGUGAAAUUCCGGGGCUUAACUCCGGGCGUGCAGGCGAUACGGGCUGACUUGAGUGCUGUAGGGGAGACUGGAAUUCCUGGUGUAGCGGUGAAAUGCGCAGAUAUCAGGAGGAACACCGAUGGCGAAGGCAGGUCUCUGGGCAGUAACUGACGCUGAGGAGCGAAAGCAUGGGUAGCGAACAGG